rnacentral:lncRNA from 1 species
AGAGAACAUAAUUAAAUGUGUAUUUUGACUUUGAAGCACAUGUGAUAAUUUAAUAGCUUGUUUUUAUCUCUUUUCACUUUCCAAGAGGAACUGAAUCAUCAGAAUUAAUAGUAUCUGUAUCCUAGAACUUUUACAAGGUUCAAGUGAGAUUAUCUAUAAAUACCCACCAAGCAGUCAGCCUGUCACGUAAGUAGUUUUUAAAUUUUAAGAAUCAUCAUUGCUGCUGCUACCUUUGUCCGAAUUUAAUAUUAAAUAUGGUUAAUAUCUUUGGUUUACAGAAGAGAAAACUUAUAGCUUCUAGAAGAGCUCCUAAAACACUUGGAAUUUUCUAUGUGAGGAGAGCCACAGUGGGGUCUUGUUAUGUUAAUGACUUUUGGAAAGCACUUCGGAAUGGCUCAGCUGGUAAAGAAACCACUUGCAAUGCAGGAGACCUGGGUUCGAUCCCUGGAUUGGGAAGAUCCCCUGGAGAAGGGGAAGGCUACCCACUCCAGUAUUCUGGCCUAGAGAAUUCCAUGGACUGUAUAGUCCAUGAGGUUGCAAAGAGUUGGACACAACUGAGUGACUUUCACUUCACUUUCAUGGAGAGCUUGCUAAAUGUACUUCUCAAUUCCAGUCAUUUUUCUCUAUAUUAUUUUGUAUUUCUAUGUGCAGAAUUAUAUAUGAUGUGCAUUAAUGUAGGCCCUUGGUAGUGAAAGUGUGAAGUCCUAACCACUGGACCACCAGGGAGUUCCCUUAAAGGAAGUUUACCUGUAGAAAUUUAGCUGAGUCUUUUUAUUGUGAACAUGUGAUUAAUUUUAUGAAGUAAUUUCACUCCAUCUGUUUUGACAAUCAUAUGAUUUCCCCCUUUUAAUAUGGUAAUAUAGUACAUUGCAUUAAUUAAAAUUUUAAAGUAAAACAGAACCAGCAUUUCUGCAAUAACCCUACAAUCUAAUGCUAUAUUAAUCCUUUUUUCCAUUGCUGGUAUUUUAUAAGGAUUUUUGCAUGCAUAUUUUUGAAUGAGAUUCACAUGUAAUUUUCCUUUCUUAGACGACUCUUGAUAGAGUUUGUUAACAAGCUGAUGUUAGACUCAUGAGUUGCAAAUUGUACCUUCUUAUUCUAUUAUUGGGAAUAAUAGUUUGUGUAAUGCUGGAAUUAUUGCUUUUUUAAAUGUUUGGUAGAAUUGCUAGUGAAGCUCUUUGCACCUGUAGCUUUCAAUGUAGGAAGAUUUUCAUUACUAAUGCAAAUCCUUUUAUCACUGGAACUAUUCAAUUUUAAAUUGCUUCUGAGUUAUUUCUGGUAAAUUAUUUUUUGUAGAAAUUUAUACAUUGUAUCAAAAUUUUAAGUGUAUUGGCAUAAAGUUGUUCAUGAUAUUCUCUUUUUAAUAUCUGAAAGGUCUGUGACAAUCUUCUGUUGUUCAUUCUUAAUAUGUUUUGGCAGACAUUUAUGAAAUUUUUAGAAUAA